rnacentral:rRNA from 1 species
AGAGCGAACGCUGGCGGCAGGCCUAAUACAUGCAAGUCGAACGGAUCCUUCGGGAUUAGUGGCGGACGGGUGAGUAACACGUGGGAACGUGCCCUUUGGUUCGGAACAACUCAGGGAAACUUGAGCUAAUACCGGAUGUGCCCUUCGGGGAAAGAUUUAUCGCCAUUGGAGCGGCCCGCGUCUGAUUAGCUAGUUGGUGAGGUAAAGGCUCACCAAGGCUUCGAUCAGUAGCUGGUCUGAGAGGAUGAUCAGCCACACUGGGACUGAGACACGGCCCAGACUCCUACGGGAGGCAGCAGUAGGGAAUCUUGCGCAAUGGGCGAAAGCCUGACGCAGCCAUGCCGCGUGAAUGAUGAAGGUCUUAGGAUUGUAAAAUUCUUUCAGCGGGGACGAUAAUGACGGUACCCGCAGAAGAAGCCCGGCUAACUUCGUGCCAGCAGCCGC